CAGAUUGAAAUGCUCAAAUGAUCUUGGAGGUCGAGGCAUGGGCGUGACCAUUAACAUCAUUAAUAUAAAUUCAACGAAUUUAAUAAUGUAUAUUGCAAUGGCUAUAUUUGCGUAGCAGGGCACGUCUUAGAAACGAGUUAUAAAAAUAAAACCAAGUUAAAAAUAAGAAUUCGCCAUCGUGAAUUUAUUCAUCCUAGCAGCUACUCAUCAGUUACGGAAUUACCAACAAGGAGGCGUUGCUGGCCUUGUUAGAAGGAAACGAAAUUGACCAAAUAUACGUGCAAAGAAUGCGGCCAAUAACUUUGCCACAUUUUUUUUCCAGAUGGAUGCAAUAUUGAUGAAUGUAAUUGUGAUGAAGAUCGAAAGAAAAAUUAAAACGAUGGGAGGAAACUGUUAUCUGAAUCUUGUUCUGGGUUAGGAUCUGCAAUCAGCUGAAAAGUGGUCUACCUGAACCCGGGUUAUAGUUUUUGAAAAGUCCUUAUGUUAUAUUUUCAUUUGUAUUCUUAAUAAAUAGUCUUUAAUUAGU